rnacentral:rRNA from 1 species
AUGCACGACGCCUUCAUGGAAGAUCAGGUCGGCCUGGACGGCUUCCCGCUCGACCACGAGUUCCCGGAGGACUACGGCCUCGAGGAAGAGGAUGAAAUGGACAUCGACGGGGAGUCUUUGUUCGAGGACGAGCUCGCCAACCAAGCUGUCGGGGCGAAGCCGAAGUGCAAGAGCAAGCGGACAAAGGCAUACACGUCGUCUGAGGACAAGCUCCUUUGUGAGUGUCAAAGGGACAUUGGGAAAGACCCCAAGGUCGGGGCCGAACAAAAGGCAACAACCUUUUGGAUUCGUAUCCAUCGUGAGUUUCAUGAACGCAAGAAGUUUGCGCCGUACGAAAUGCAUAGCAUGCGCGGGUGGGUGUCCAUUUCAAAGCGAUGGAGGGUGAUACAACAAGAGCGCAACAAGUUUUGUGCCACCCUUAAGAGCAUCAAGGCACGCCCCAUGAGCGGCAUUGGCAUGCAAGACAUGGUAUACAUGCACCCCUCUUCGUUUCCAUUCCCGUUAUGCUUGCAUGCUAUUCAUUUGUAG